rnacentral:sRNA from 1 species
AUACAGCUAGAUCCAUACCCCUAAACUCCCUAAUUUAUUGGAUAGCACUAUGUGCUAUCCCCUUUUU